UACAGAGGGGGCAAGCGUUGUUCGGAAUUACUGGGCGUAAAGGGCGCGUAGGCGGCCCGCUAAGUCGAACGUGAAAUCCCCCGAGCUCAACUCGGGAACUGCGUCCGAUACUGGCGGGCUUGAAUCCGGGAGAGGGAUGCGGAAUUCCAGGUGUAGCGGUGAAAUGCGUAGAUAUCUGGAGGAACACCGGUGGCGAAGGCGGCAUCCUGGACCGAGAUUGACGCUGAUGAGCGAAAGCUAGGGGAGCAAACGGG
rnacentral:rRNA from 1 species